GAUGAACGCUGGCGGCGUGCCUAAUACAUGCAAGUCGAACGCAUCCCGUUAAAUGAAGUGCUUGCACGGAUUUUAACAUUGGAUGAGUGGCGAACUGGUGAGUAACACGUGGGUAACCUGCCCAGAAGCAGGGGAUAACACUUGGAAACAGGUGCUAAUACCGUAUAACAACAAAAACCGCAUGGUUUUUGUUUGAAAGGUGGUUUCGGCUAUCACUUCUGGAUGGACCCGCGGCGUAUUAGCUAGUUGGUGGAGUAAUGGUUCACCAAGGCAAUGAUACGUAGCCGACCUGAGAGGGUAAUCGGCCACAUUGGGACUGAGACACGGCCCAAACUCCUACGGGAGGCAGCAGUAGGGAAUCUUCCACAAUGGACGAAAGUCUGAUGGAGCAACGCCGCGUGAGUGAAGAAGGUUUUCGGAUCGUAAAACUCUGUUGUUGAAGAAGAAUACGUUUGAGAGUAACUGUUCAGACGUUGACGGUAUUCAACUAGAAAGCCACGGCUAACUACGUGCCAGCCGCCGCAGUAA
rnacentral:rRNA from 1 species